GACAGAGGUCCCGAGCGUUAGGCGGAAUCACUGGGCUUAAAGCGUGUGUAGGCGGAUCGUUAAGUGCCUUGUGAAAUCCCACGGCUUAACCGUGGAACUGCUUGGCAUACUGGCGGUCUUGAGCAACCUAGGGGCAAGCGGAACAAAUGGUGGAGCGGUGAAAUGCGUAGAUAUCAUUUGGAACGCCAAUGGUGAAAACAGCUUGCCGGGGGUUUGCUGACGCUGAGACACGAAAGCCAGGGGAGCGAACGGG
rnacentral:rRNA from 1 species